rnacentral:rRNA from 12 species
GUUUGAUCCUGGCUCAGGACGAACGCUGGCGGCGUGCCUAAUACAUGCAAGUCGAGCGAGCUUGCCUAGAUGAUUUUAGUGCUUGCACUAAAUGAAACUAGAUACAAGCGAGCGGCGGACGGGUGAGUAACACGUGGGUAACCUGCCUAAAAGAAGGGGAUAACACUUGGAAACAGGUGCUAAUACCGUAUAUCUCUAAGGAUCGCAUGAUCCUUAGAUGAAAGAUGGUUCUGCUAUCGCUUUUAGAUGGACCCGCGGCGUAUUAACUAGUUGGUGGGGUAACGGCCUACCAAGGUGAUGAUACGUAGCCGAACUGAGAGGUUGAUCGGCCACAUUGGGACUGAGACACGGCCCAAACUCCUACGGGAGGCAGCAGUAGGGAAUCUUCGGCAAUGGACGCAAGUCUGACCGAGCAACGCCGCGUGAGUGAAGAAGGUUUUCGGAUCGUAAAACUCUGUUGUUAGAGAAGAACAAGGAUGAGAGUGGAAAGUUCAUCCCUUGACGGUAUCUAACCAGAAAGCCACGGCUAACUACGUGCCAGCAGCCGCGGUAAUACGUAGGUGGCAAGCGUUGUCCGGAUUUAUUGGGCGUAAAGCGAGUGCAGGCGGUUCAAUAAGUCUGAUGUGAAAGCCUUCGGCUCAACCGGAGAAUUGCAUCAGAAACUGUUGAACUUGAGUGCAGAAGAGGAGAGUGGAACUCCAUGUGUAGCGGUGGAAUGCGUAGAUAUAUGGAAGAACACCAGUGGCGAAGGCGGCUCUCUGGUCUGCAACUGACGCUGAGGCUCGAAAGCAUGGGUAGCGAACAGGAUUAGAUACCCUGGUAGUCCACACCGUAAACGCUGUCUACUAGCUGUUUGUGACUUUAAGUCGUGAGUAGCGAAGCUAACGCGAUAAGUAGACCGCCUGGGGAGUACGGCCGCAAGGUUAAAACUCAAAUGAAUUGACGGGGGCCCGCACAAGCGGUGGAGCAUGUGGUUUAAUUCGAUUCAACGCGAAGAACCUUACCAGGGUUUGACAUGAUAUGAAUUUUUUUGAAAGAAAAAAGUGCCGUUUGGAACAUAUACACAGGUGGUGCAUGGCUGUCGUCAGCUCGUGUCGUGAGAUGUUGGGUUAAGUCCCGCAACGAGCGCAACCCUCAUUUUUAGUUGCCUUUUGGAACUCUAGAAAGACUGCCGGUUAUAAACCGGAGGAAGGCGGGGAUGACGUCAAGUCAGCAUGCCCCUUACACCCUGGGCUACACACGUGCUACAUUGGACGAGACAAUGAGCUGCAAGUCUGCAAAGAUGAGCCAAUCUAUAAACUCGUUCUAAGUUCGGAUUGUAGGCUGCAACUCGCCUGCAUAAAGAUGGAAUCGCUAGUAAUCGCUGGUCAGCUAUACAGCGGUGAAUCCGUUCCCGGGCCUUGUACACACCGCCCGUCACACCAUGGGAGCUGGUUAUGCCCGAAGUCGUUACUUUAACCGUUUGGAGGAGGACGCCUAAGGUAGAAUUAGUGACUAGGGUGAAGUCGUAACAAGGUAACCGUACUGGAAGGUGCGGUUGGAUCACCUCCUU